GCCCUCUUGUCUUGUGACACUGACACUUCCCUUUGUGUUUUUCAGAGACUUUCUGGAGUCUGCUUUUUGUUUGCUCGAUCAGUUUGCCCAAGUAAAAAACAGCUACAGCUGAAAAUAGCAGAACCAGCAUGUAAGUGAUGGCAGAAGUUUGGGAAACUUACCAAAUGCAGCACUUUGGAAUUGAAUACCUCCCAUGCAGGAGAAGAAAAAGACCUAGUUGUAUGGACAGCACCCUAUGCAGACAGUGCUUUCUAAACAUAUGUGGACAAAGGAAUUGUAUACAAACCUGCAAGAAUUCACAUAUUGACAGAAUUGCUAAAAUGUGAAGUCUCUCAGGAACUGAUAAAUUCCUGUUUCAGUUUUCUCUCUUACUGAGACCAGUCUAGGAAAGAUCCCAGAAGAAGUCAUUGUUGGACUUACAUGCAAGCUUCACAGUCUGUGAGAUGUCCAACAGGUAAAAACGUUAAAGCAGCCACAGCUUAUAACCAUACUUGGAGAGCCCUAAUGUUGGUCCUUGUCUCAAGUCUGACUAAAGUCAAGCUUCCUUUUUAUGUAAUUCUUUCUGCUAACAGGUAAGUGCUAUAAAUACAGAGCUACUUCCUGGAAGGGAAAACAGAGAUAGCCACCUCCCCCGGUUGUUUGCCUGGUUCUGCUUUCAUUUCUCUCAUUCCAGAGUCCUUCAGUCUAAGUGUUGUAAGCUGUAGGAGUUGGCUUUCCCACCCAUAGCUGGUAACCAGCUGGUUAAUCUAUGGGCUCCCUCUAUAGUCAAUAGAUAGAGGUAAGCCUGAUGAUGCUGUCUGCAUCCUCUGCUGAAGAAGAAGAGACCUGUGCUACGGAGGUAAAGAUCAGUUCUGAUGAACCACAACAGAUGCAGGAACAGAUUUACUGAGACACUACAAAAACUGCACCCAGCUUAUGCCUAUAAACACAGUAUAUGUUCCACAUCAUGUAACAGAAGUGAGGCUGCAAAAGCCAUCCUCCUCUUCCACUAUGUCCUCAUAACCAUGCAGGCGUUCUGAAGGGACACCGUGUUUUAGAAGAGGUGGGAAGAUACAUAAAAGCAAAACACGGUUGCUAUUGAUGGGGUAUGAAAGUUGCAUUGUCAGCCACUCAGGAGUCUCAGUACUGCCAUACAGCUCUGGGGCAUUUCAUAAAGCCUGGGGGAAGACUUGACAACUGAGAUAUAAGUUAACUGUGAGAUCAAUAUAUUUUUAAGAUAUUCUGAGUUGCAGAGAACAGGAAGAACUUUACUAGGAAAUAUCUACAUGAUUUGCCCUUCAUGUGAACCUCUUGGGUACACACAUCGCAAAGCCUUGGUCAGUCUGCAGAAGCCAUCAUCCCAGCAGAGGGACUCUUAAUAGUGUACUUCACAGGUCUGCAGGACCAGGAUUUAUUUAAUGUAUGCUAUCCAGAUACUUCUCAGAUUGCAUUUUUUUAAAGUUUUUUUCUUCUCAUAAUCAUGUCUCUAGUUCCAUUAGGGUAAUAUCUGAUUUCUUCACAGAUACUAUGGUGUUUUUCUCACCUAUUUAUUAGGUGAAUCAAUAUAUUUACAGCCAUUUUGCAACAAGGAUGUUGAAAUGCCAAGAUUAUGAAUAACACCAUCAAGCAUCCAUUCGUCUAGGAACCUGGUUAAUGAACUGUUUUCCUCCAAAGCAAUGCAUUAUGGUGGGGAACAAUUCCCAUGUGUUGCAGCUGCACCCUUGCACUUCUGGUUCUUGGUCUUCACCUUGGGCCCUGGAACAUGACAAACGAAACCUCAGAGGCCACCUAUGAAAAGCUAAGUUUACAUGAAAAGGGAAGGUGCUUAAUUUACUUGGUAGCAGUAAAUAUUAAGGGUAGAUUGGAUAAAUUCAGGUCUGCGUGCCUAAAUCCCUUGGUGGAUCUUGUGCCAGCCUUAUGACAUGCUUGCAGAUUCCAGCAGUAUUUCUAACACUAGGCUAGGCAUCUCUAAAAUGUGAGUCUUCCAUGAUUUUCCUUCAUGGCUAUCCGCAGGGCUCCUCAAUGAAACUGAAUCCUAAAGACACAACCAACAUCAGAUAUGUUUCAGUCUGCUCAGAGAUUGGCCUUACACUCCUGUGCAGCUAUGUGGUGGAGUCUGCUUACUAUGAAUAACACCCAUGGAGAGGGAGCUGAGCAGUUUGAAGCCAGCCUGGUAGCCAUGUUACAGCAGUUUAUGGACAUACUGAAUCUGACCCUAAUCAGCCCCCAACAGGUUUUAUUCACAGGACAGAGAUACCAUUUCCUUAGUAGCUUCUGUAGAUAAAAUAUAAGAAAACACUGAACUUAGGUAAGUCAGCAAAACAUCCUUUGACAGAGUCCAUGGCAAACUAACCACACCGCAAAAUCUGUGAUACCACAGACUAUGCGGUUCUCUAUCCCCACCAACCGGGGAUUGCUGUGGUGUCUUCUGUACUACAGUGUGGUAAAUUUUAUUGUAUUCUCUCUCUCUCUCUUUGUUAUGUAGUACUAAUUGCUGUCUCAUAACAGGAAUGGAAUAGCUAUUUUACAUCUUGGUCCACAAAUGAGAAAUCUUACACCUGCACUGUUAGCUGCAGAUAAGCUGUGCCACUGUGCAAAACAAUGUCAUUGUUAGCAAGUAUGGUGUGAAGCCAGGUCCCUCUCUAUUUUUCAGGCUCCCAGAUCACGUUGAAGUCAUCGUUUUAUGCAGGUAUAUUUAGUGCUUGCAAACCAGUUUGCCAUCCUUCUUGGAAGAGAUUGUUUAAGUGUAAAGAUGAAAGCAAGCCACAAAGAACUGGUAAAAAUAACUUCAACUGAAAAGCCAUCUCAUCAAGAGAAUUCAACAGGAAGGCUUUUUUUAAGCCUAGGCUGUACUAAAAUAUGUCAGGAUAAAGUCCCAAAUAAAGCUUUAAGUGGAUCUCAGCUAGAAAUUUUCUUUGCAUUGCCUGAAAUGCAGUUGGAUUCACCUGGAAUCUCAAAACCAAACAAUCCCCAAAAUGUUUCUUUGGGCAAUUAACAUCUUACAAUGACACUCCAUUUUGUAAGACUUAAAGUCUCGAUACAUUUUCAAUACUACUGGAACUUGUCCUCAAAGAGUGAAGAAGUUUGCUGUCUGCUACAGUUUUUCAAACUGAUGAGUGACCAUUUCUUAUCUCCUUGUUCCUGUGUUAAAUGCAUUAAAUAUUCAAUACCUAGAAUACUCACUACCAUCAGCUACCAUCCAGUGCUCUCCCCUCACCCAGUUCACUGAAGAGACUGUCAGGUAGGUCUGAGCCCCACAAACCUCUGUUUAUUCACUGAAACGGGGAAGUCUGUCCUGAAAUGUAUCUUAACAUUGUCUGAGAAAAAAGCCUAGAAAAAUUAGUGCCAGAG